rnacentral:piRNA from 1 species
UGUGCAGGUUCCGCUGGUUUCUCUUAGU